rnacentral:rRNA from 1 species
GACGAACGCUGGCGGCGUGCCUAAUACAUGCAAGUAGAACGCUGAAGGAGGAGCUUGCUUCUCUGGACGAGUUGCGAACGGGUGAGUAACGCGUAGGUAACCUGCCUGGUAGCGGGGGAUAACUAUUGGAAACGAUAGCUAAUACCGCAUAAUAGUAGAUGUUGCAUGACAUUUGCUUAAAAGGUGCAAUUGCAUCACUACCAGAUGGACCUGCGUUGUAUUAGCUAGUUGGUGGGGUAACGGCUCACCAAGGCGACGAUACAUAGCCGACCUGAGAGGGUGAUCGGCCACACUGGGACUGAGACACGGCCCAGACUCCUACGGGAGGCAGCAGUAGGGAAUCUUCGGCAAUGGACGGAAGUCUGACCGAGCAACGCCGCGUGAGUGAAGAAGGUUUUCGGAUCGUAAAGCUCUGUUGUAAGAGAAGAACGAGUGUGAGAGUGGAAAGUUCACACUGUGACGGUAGCUUACCAGAAAGGGACGGCUAACUACGUG